rnacentral:rRNA from 1 species
UACGGAGGGUGCAAGCGUUAUCCGGAUUCACUGGGUUUAAAGGGUGCGUAGGUGGAAUGGUAAGUCAGUGGUGAAAUCUCCAAGCUUAACUUGGGAACUGCCGUGGAUACUAUCAAUCUUGAAUAUCGUGGAGGUAAGCGGAAUAUGUCAUGUAGCGGUGAAAUGCUUAGAUAUGACAUAGAACACCAAUUGCGUAGGCAGCUUACUACACGAUCAUUGACGCUGAGGCACGAAAGCGUGGGGAGCAAACAGG